rnacentral:rRNA from 1 species
CCUACGGGGGGCAGCAGUGGGGUAUAUUGGACAAUGGGGGGAACCCUGAUCCAGCCAUGCCGCGUGUGUGAAGAAGGCCCUCGGGUUGUAAAGCACUUUCAGUGAGGAAGAACGCCUGGUGGUUAAUACCCAUCAGGAAAGACAUCACUCACAGAAGAAGCACCGGCUAACUCCGUGCCAGCAGCCGCGGUAAUACGGAGGGUGCGAGCGUUAAUCGGAAUUACUGGGCGUAAAGCGCGCGUAGGUGGCUUGAUAAGCCGGUUGUGAAAGCCCCGGGCUCAACCUGGGAACGGCAUCCGGAACUGUCAAGCUAGAGUGCAGGAGAGGAAGGUAGAAUUCCCGGUGUAGCGGUGAAAUGCGUAGAGAUCGGGAGGAAUACCAGUGGCGAAGGCGGCCUUCUGGACUGACACUGACACUGAGGUGCGAAAGCGUGGGUAGCAAACAGGAUUAGAUACCCGGGUAGUC